UUAAUAAAGUUGGACAUUAAAAACAUAUUGUUCUAAAUCCAAAAAAUUUGGCGGUACUUUAAAAAAUCAGGGGAACUUGCAUAUUAAAUCGAUAAUCCACGAAAAUCUUACUUUUAAUUGAAACUCAGUUAGUGUACUGCCGUAAUAAUAUAAAUUUAUAAUUAUAUAUAAUAAAGAAAAUAAAUCUUUUUUAGCAGGUCAAAGUGCAGCUUAUUUAAAAGGGUUUUGUGAGUUACAAUAUUAAUAAAUAUGGAUCAAGUAAAAAAAUUUUAUGUGAAAAUGGACUUGAUAGUAAUUAAUUAAUGUAAUGAAUUAAAUCUUAAAGUGUGU
rnacentral:rRNA from 1 species